ACUCUGGUAACUCAGCGGAUAGAGUGCUUUGUUUCCUAAACAAGAGGUCGGGGGUUCGAAUCCUCCCCAGAGUG